UACGGAGGGGGCUAGCGUUGUUCGGAAUUACUGGGCGUAAAGCGCGCGCAGGCGGUUCCUUAAGUCUGAUGUGAAAGCCCCACGGCUCACCGUGGAGGGUCAUUGGAAACUGGGGGACUUGAGUGCAGAAGAGGAAAGCGGAAUUCCACGUGUAGCGGUGAAAUGCGCAGAUAUCAGGAGGAACACCAAUGGCGAAGGCAGCUCGCUGGGACGGUACUGACGCUGGAGGCGCGAAAGCGUGGGGAGCAAACAGG
rnacentral:rRNA from 1 species